rnacentral:rRNA from 1 species
GACGAACCGUGCGACCGUUGUUCGGAUUCACUGGGCUUAAAGGGCGCGUAGGCGUCUCCUCACGUCGGGGGUGAAAUCCUCUCGCUUAACGAGAGAAUUGCCUCCGAUACUGGGGAGCUGGAGGGGGAUAGGGGUGCGCGGAACUUCCGGUGGAGCGGUGAAAUGCGUAGAUAUCGGAAGGAACGCCGGUGGCGAAAGCGGCGCACUGGAUCCCCACUGACGCUGAGGCGCGAAAGCCAGGGGAGCAAACGGG